rnacentral:rRNA from 1 species
CAGCAGCCACGGUAAUACAGAGGGUGCGAGCGUUAAUCGGAUUUACUGGGCGUAAAGCGUGCGUAGGCGGCUUUUUAAGUCGGAUGUGAAAUCCCUGAGCUUAACUUAGGAAUUGCAUUCGAUACUGGGAAGCUAGAGUAUGGGAGAGGAUGGUAGAAUUCUAGGUGUAGCGGUGAAAUGCGUAGAGAUCUGGAGGAAUACCGAUGGCGAAGGCAGCCAUCUGGCCUAAUACUGACGCUGAGGUACGAAAGCAUGGGGAGCAAACAGGAUUAGAUACCCCCGUAGUCCCUGUCUCUUAUAA